AACGAACGCUGGCGGCAGGCUUAACACAUGCAAGUCGAACGCGUGUAGCAAUACACGAGUGGCGCACGGGUGAGUAACACGUGGAUAUCUGCCUUUUGGUUCGGAAUAACCCUGGGAAACUAGGGCUAAUACCGAAUGGUUCCUACGGGAUAAAGAUUUAUCGCCAAAAGAUGAGUCCGCGUCCGAUUAGCUAGUUGGUGAGGUAACGGCUCACCAAGGCGACGAUCGGUAGCGGUCUGAGAGGACGAUCAGCCACACUGGGACUGAGACACGGCCCAGACUCCUACGGGAGGCAGCAGUGGGGAAUAUU
rnacentral:rRNA from 1 species